rnacentral:tRNA from 1 species
CAGGGUGUGGCGCAGUUGGUAGCGCGCAGCGUUCGGGACGCUGAGGUCGUCGGUUCAAGUCCGAUCACCCUGACCA